rnacentral:rRNA from 1 species
ACGCUCGACACCUACGGGGGGCAGCAGUGGGGAAUGUUGCACAAUGGGGGAAACCCUGAUGCAGCGACGCCGCGUGGAGGAAGAAGGUCUUCGGAUUGUAAACUCCUGUUGUUGGGGAAAAAGAGGAUGGUACCCAACAAGGAAGUGACGGCUAACUACGUGCCAGCAGCAGCGGUAAUCUGAGCGGGCUGGCAAGGC